UACAUAUGUCAAAAUCCAUAUCGACUACGGCAAUUGAUACUAUUAAGGUUUGUUGGCGUAUACGUGAUGUCACGGGCUGGAAGGUAUUUUCUAUGUUUUGGAAGUAAAAUUUGGAAAAAACAACGUGCCAUAAUAAGCGCUAACCAGGAAAUAUUAACUGGAAGAAGCUGAUACCGAGAAGAUCUUUAAGAAGGACGGUGCAUCCAAAAUUGCAUACGCAUGCAUCUUGUAAAUUGUUGUCUUGUAAAAGUUGAAGAGAACGAGGAAGUGAU